rnacentral:rRNA from 1 species
AACGAACGCUGGCGGCAGGCUUAACACAUGCAAGUCGAACGGGUGUAGCACUACAUCAGUGGCAGACGGGUGAGUAACACGUGGGAACCUUCCUAGGGGUACGGAAGAACUCAGGGAAACUUGAGCUAAUACCGUAUACGUCCGUGAGGAGUAAGAUUUAUCGCCCUUAGACGGGCCCGCCGCGGAUUAGGUAGUUGGUGGGGUGACGGCCUACCAAGGCGACGAUCCAUAGCCGAUCUUAGAGGAUGAUCAGCCUCACUGGGACUGAGACACGGCCCAGACUCCUACGGGAGGCAGCAGUGGGGAAUCUUGGACAAUGGGCGCAAGCCUGAGCCAGCCAUGCCGCGUGAGUGAAGAAGGUCUUCGGAUUGUAAAGCUCUUUUGCCAGGGACGAUAAUGACGGUACCUGGAGAAUAAGCCCCGGCAAACUUCGUGCCAGCAGCCGCAGUAA